UGGGGAAUAUUGCACAAUGGGGGAAACCCUGAUGCAGCGUCGCCGCGUGAACGAAGAAGGUAUUCGUAUCGUAAAGUUCUGUCCUAUGGGAAGAUAAUGACAGUACCAUAGAAGAAAGCUCCGGCUAAAUACGUGCCAGCAGCCGCGGUAAUACGUAUGGAGCGAGCGUUGUCCGGAAUUAUUGGGCGUAAAGGGUACGCAGGCGGUUUAAUAAGUCGAAUGUUAAAGAUCGGGGCUCAACCCCGCAAAGCAUUGGAAACUGAUAAACUUGAGUAGUGGAGAGGAAAGUGGAAUUCCUAGUGUAGUGGUGAAAUACGUAGAUAUUAGGAGGAAUACCAGUAGCGAAGGCGACUUUCUGGACACAAACUGACGCUGAGGUACGAAAGCGUGGGGAGCAAACAGG
rnacentral:rRNA from 1 species